rnacentral:rRNA from 1 species
CGAUGUCUUCGGACAUAGUGGCAGACGGGUGAGUAACGCGUGGGAACCUACCUUGUAGUACGGAAUAGCCUCGGGAAACUGGGAUUAAUACCGUAUACGCCCUCAGGGGGAAAGAUUUAUCGCUAUAAGAUGGGCCCGCGUUUGAUUAGGUAGUUGGUGGGGUAAUGGCCUACCAAGCCGACGAUCAAUAGCUGGUCUGAGAGGAUGAUCAGCCACACUGGGACUGAGACACGGCCCAGACUCCUACGGGAGGCAGCAGUGGGGAAUAUUGGACAAUGGGGGCAACCCUGAUCCAGCCAUGCCGCGUGAGUGAUGAAGGCCUUAGGGUUGUAAAGCUCUUUCAACGGUGAAGAUAAUGACGGUAACCGUAGAAGAAGCCCCGGCUAACUUCGUGCCAGCAGCCGCGGUAAUACGAAGGGGGCUAGCGUUGUUCGGAAUUACUGGGCGUAAAGCGCACGUAGGCGGACUAUUAAGUCAGGGGUGAAAUCCCGGGGCUCAACCCCGGAACUGCCUUUGAUACUGGUAGUCUUGAUUCCGAAAGAUUGACUGGAACUCCUAACUGCAGGCGAUGUUUUUAAAUUUAGCACUAAAUAGGGAGCCGAAUAU